CCCCGAAAACCCAAGGUUUCUUUCUCAACGUUCGUCCAUGGAAGGUGAGUCAGGGCCAAAUAUCAUGUUGAAAGGCGUAGUUGAUGGACAACAGGUGAAUAUUUCUAUACUACCCCUUGUUGGUCCCGAGGGAUGGAGAAGGCUAGGUUAGCCGAAAGAUGGUUAUCGAUUCAAGGAUGCAAGAUGCCCCUACUUUUUCAAGGUAAGAAGGGGUAGAGAAAAUGCCCUGAGCCAAUGUUCAAGUACCAAGUGUUACGGCGUUGAAGUAACCCAUGCUAUACUCCUAGAAAAAGCUCAAACGACCUUCAACAAAAGGUUACAUGUACCCAAAACUGACAUAGGUGGGUAGGUAGAGAAUACCUAAGGGCGCGAGAUAACUCUCUCUAAGGAACUUGACAAAAUAGCCCUGUAACUUUGGGAGAAAGGGUACCUCCUCACAAAAGGGGUCAUAGUGACCAGGCUUGGGCAACUGUUUACCAAAAACACAAGUCUCUAGGAAGUCGUAAGACCAUGUAUGGGGGCUUACGCCUACCCAGUACUGGAAGGUCAAUGAAGUAAGUGACCUGAUGACAGGGAGCCGGUGACCAAAGUCUUGGUGAACAACAGUCGUAACUAUAACGAUCCUAAGGUAGCGAAAUUUCUUGUCGGGUAAGUUCUGACCCGCACGAAAGGCGUAACGAUCUAGGCACUGUCUCGAAGAGAGGCUUAGUGAACUAAACAUGUUUAUGAAGAUGCAGACUACUCGCAGUGGACAGAAAGACCCUAUGAAGCUUCACUGUUCCUUGGGAUUGGCUUUGAGCUUUUCCGACACAGCUUACGUAGAAGGCGAAGAAGGCCUCCUUCCAGGGGGCUCGAGCCAUCACUGAGAUACGACUCUAAAAGAGCUAGAUUUAUAACCAUUUUUCAGGACCUACGAGCCAAGGGACAGUCUUAAGUAGACAGUUUCUAUGGGGUGUAGGCUUCCCGAAAGGUAACGGAUGCGUGCAAAGGUUUCCUCGGGCCAGACGGAGAUUGGCCCUUGAGUACAAAGGCAGAAGGGAGCUUGAUUGCAAGAACCACUCGUCAAGCAGGGGAGAAAGUCAGCCUUAGUGAUCUGACAGUGCCGAGUGGAUGGGUCGUCACUCAACGGAUAAAAGUUACUUUAGGGAUAACAGGCUGAUCUUCCCCAAGAGCUCACAUCGACGGAAGGUUGGCACCUCAAUGUCUGUUCUUCACCACUUGGGGCUGUAGUAUAUUCCAAGGGUUGGGUUGUUCGCCCAUUAAGAGUUUAAAAUGUUUUAUUUUGUUAGAGUUUAAUGUUGUACAAAGUUUU
rnacentral:ncRNA from 1 species